GACUCUGUCUCAAAAAAAAAAAAAGAAAAAAAACAAAAAAAACAAGUUAGUUGUCACAGCCUGACCUGUAAGUGUCUGCUUAGCGCCAAAUGGGCCUGGCGUCCUCACCUGGUCACACACUUUAUUCUGAACAGGCGAGCCCCAUCGUGUAUCACUCGGGUUUGAUACUGGUUCUUUCUACAGAGAGGACACGUUUUCUUGUUUGUGAACUUUUCAAAAGCCUGAAGACAUGCCUGAAGAAAAACAUUUCACUUAAAAUUUUACAAUUACUUAUAAACAACGUCUUUACUUCCAAUGUUAGUGUUCUAAUUACAGUGUUCUUUUCUCCCGUAACUAUGAAACUUAGCCCAAUUUAGGUUAUCAAGUGAGGAAGUUUCAUCAGGUGCUACCACCUUCCUCAUGAAACCUGUUCCAAAAGCGAUUUCUUACAAGAAUAUACAUGCAAAGACAUCAAAAACUUCUGAAAUCCACUAGCACAAAGGUGAGUCAUGCGUGUCUAUGGGACCACAUGCAGAUCGAUCAUGUGAAUUUAGCUGUCACUGACACGCAUUACUGACAACAAUCUGUUACAUAAACAUUUGUGGUUCUUUUGUCACAAAACUCAUGAUUUUCAAAAUAGGAUGAAUUGUACUGUAGCCUACAGUCAUGUUUCUUUAACUAUAGAUGGUGGUGAUGAAUAAAAUAAAUGGCUCUUCUCAGGAGCCUUGAAAAUGACUAUAGUUUCUCUGCACUGUAAGAGCGAUGUGUGGGGCACCUGAACAGGCGUGAGGGGCGGACUUACUCUGUGGAACACAUGGGAGCAUGAAAGCAGCACCUGUUCAUGAGGAAACAGAACGACAUUGAAGUUUACAAAAGAGAAGCAGCAUGAAUGCAACAGUUAAACUCCUGAAUGCUUAGAAGGGAGUGUGCUCACAAGAAAACUUCACCUUUCUGUGACCCAAAUUCCCCACUAAACAGUGAUAUUCUGGGCUGUGACAAAAGACUGAAGCUUAGACCAAAUGAAGAAGGCAGUGGGUACUCAGUAGAAGGGACAGAGCCACCAGCCCACCAGCGCCAGGCCCUGCGGGCUGCCACACGAAGCCCAGGCUUCCCUUGGGGCGGGGCUGCUUCCAGCAAUGGGGAGGAAAGUGGGGGAACUUGUGAGACGGAGCAGAGCAGUGGGGGCAGGCGGAGGGUUUCCCUUCCUGUCAAGAGUCUGACUCGGGUGACUGCAGUCUGGGCCCCUCCCGGGUGAGGUUUCAGUCUCAGGCGGCCCAGGGUGCCUGCUGUGGGGAAAACUUAACAGUUUUUAAAGUGAAUCCCACCUGCCUUCACUCAAUGUGUGCUUUUCUUCUUAAAUGGAAGAAAUACAGAAAUAAGUAGAACUCAGAAAGUUGUAAAACCUUUUCUUGAAACUUAUUGCCAAGAGUAAGUCUGAAUUGAAUAAACUCAGUAAUAUGGGUCCUUUUUUAUUACUACCGUUGAAUAGCAAUCUUUUCUAUACUUCAUUCAUCCUUUAUAGAAUACUUUUCAGUGUUUCCUUAACAUACAUUCUAUCUAUAUUGAGCAACAUUAGACUCCAGUAUAUUAAAGUGUUAUCUUUUUAAAUGUCCACAAAUAUUUCUUAUUGGCAAACAUUCUCUGAUGUAACAAAAAUCAAGGAGUAAGUGGUGGAAAACAUACUAAAAAUGGCCUAGAAGGUAGGACUGGAUUCCAGCAGGACUCCAUACUUUCUAAGCUGGCCUACUAUGAACCAUUUGAAUUAUUUUUUAUUUCCUCAUCUGCUAAAUGGGCAGAAUGCCUACUAUAUGAAAUUAAUUGAAGGCCUUCUGAAAUCAUUAAAUGUUGUAAAAAUGCCAACUAUUGUUUAUAACUAAGGAAAAAUCUGAACACGGAAACGAUCAUUAGAAGUGCCAAAUAUACAGGAUAGGUUCUAUAUCAAAA